rnacentral:lncRNA from 1 species
UUCAUGAGAGGCAGAGAGAGAGAGGCAGAGACACAGGCAGGGGGAGAAGCAGGCUCCAUGCUGGGAGCCUGACGUGGGACCAUCCUGGGUCUCCAGGACCAAGCCCUGGGCUGAAGCCGGUGCUAAACCGCUGGGCCACCCGGGCUGCCCAACCAGGUUAUUUUUGCUUGGUUUCAGAAUUGUUUAACAUAAGUACGGGAGAGUAUGUCUAGUGUCUAGUUCUACUAUUAUUCAAGAUAGGGACAGGUAAUUAUAUUGCUUUCAGUUUUCAAAGCUUGUUCUUUUCUGGGUGCCUGGCUGGCUCAGUAGGAAGAGCAUACGACUAAUGAUCUUAGGGUCAUGAGUGUGAGCUCCAUGUUGGGUGAUGAUAUUACCAAAAAAAAUAAUAAACUUAAAAAAAAGCUUUUUCUUUCAUCUAGCAAUUUCUAUACUAGAAAUUUAUAAUAUGACUUUAUAAGACAAAUAUGCAAAGUAUAUCUACAGAGACAGUUUUUUUUUUUAAGAGUUUAUUUAUUUAUUUGAGAGAGAGAGAGAGAGAGAGCAUAAGAAGGAGCACAGGAGAGGGAGAGGGAGAAGGCUCCUGAUUGAGCAGGGAGCCCAACAGGGGGCUUGAUCCUGGGACUCUGGAAUCAUGACCUGAGCUGAAGGCAGACACUUAAACAACUGAGCCACCCUGGUGCGUCCCGCCUUUUUUUCAAGAAAAGGAACAGGUCAGAAACAGCUUUGAUGAAUGGAUAAGUAAAUUACAGGUAUCCACAAAAUAGAUUACAAUGCAACUAUAAAAAAUGUAUCUUUGUGGCAUCUAGGUGGUUCCAUCAGUUAAACAUCUGACUCGAUUUCGGCUCAGGUCAUGAUCUCAGGGCUGUGGGAUCAAGCCUAGUGUUGGGCUCUGUGCUGGGCGUGGAGCCUUUUAAAGAUUCUCUCUCUCUCUCUGUGCCCCCCCCUUCACUCUCACACCCCUAUUCAUGCUCUCCUCCCUGCAUGUUCUCUGUCUAUCUCAAAAAAAGAAAGAAAGAAAGGAGAAGACAAGACUGAAAAGGCAGGUACAGACAAGAUUAGGGGCACUUGACUGGUGGGGGAGGGGAGAGGGGGUUAAGUCUGGGUUUUAAUGCAGUAAGGACUGAGGAGCCAUUAAAAGAAUUGAUUGAUAAGGUAACAUAAUCUGAGUUUCUCUGAGUUAUGAUGUGAAAAUUACAUACAUAGGUAUAUAAAACUCUCAUUUUCCCCCAAUGAACUUUUUUUUUUUUUUUUUAAAGAUUUAUUUAUUCAUGAGAGACACAGAGAGAGAGAGGCAGAGACACAGGCAGAGGGAGAAGCAGGCUCCAUGCAGGGAGCCCGAGGUGGGACUCGAUCCCGGGUCUCCAGGAUCACGCCCUGGGCCAAAGGCAGGCGCUAAACCGCUGCGCCACCCAGGAAUCCCCCCAAUGAACUUUUCUAACACAGCUCCUCCCAAUUUUCUUCUUUCCUCUAUAAAAGGAUGCUCUCUCCUUUUGUUCUCUGGACUUGCCUGUAGUUCACCAUAGUUGGCCCAAAUUGCAAUUCCUCUGCUAUUUCUGAAUAAACUCAUUUGCAGCUUGAUCACAGUUGUUGUUUAAUUUUUAAGGAUGACUUUAGAAGGAUCAUUUCCAUUGUAACACUGAAUGGAGGUUGAAGGAGCAAAGGACCAGAGCCAUUGAGAGCAGCAAUUAUGGCAAGGACUUGCAGUUCUGAGAAUUGAUACCAAAGCAGCAUAAUAAUCAAGCACCUGGUGUUUGAACCUUCUAAGGGAGGUUACUGAAGGGUCAAAAGGAUGUGGCUCAUCUGGCGCUUAAAAAACCCUGAGGCUCACAUGCAUAAAAUCAGCUCAUAACACUCCCCUAGUGUCAGAAAGGUACACAUGUGCCCUUAGGCCUGCUUUUGAUUUUUUUCUAUUUUUUGAUCUCUUCCACUUAUAUUUGCCAGCUUAAAAAUGCCCUAGAUGUUUGGUUGUCAACUUAUAAAAAUGUUGAGAAUUUGUACAGAAAGGGGAGGUGAGUGACUUGCACCAGGCCACAAAGCAGGUUCUGAUCACAAGUGUCUGUAUAUGAAGCAGUAAAGAAACAAAGUAUCAAGAUGUUUAGUGGUAGGCAUACAAACAGGACAGGAGAGGUAGAAAAAAGUAAGUAGGGUUUAGUGAUUCUCACAUGUAGGAAUUAGGAGCUUGAGAGAUAAAAAUGAUUCUCUGAGUUUUUUUUUCAUUUCGAUGUUUGAGAGAUUAGUUUUAUAAGUUGGUAGAGCAGCAGUUUGGGGGGUUCCAUUAGGAAGUUAAGAAAGAUCAUGUUUAGAUAUAUGUUGAGGACAAUAUUGCCAGAUAUUAAAGUGAUACUGUUCAAAUGAGAGUUAAAAAUUCACAACCCCGGCUGAGUUUAUGAUAUUAUGAUGUCAUGUGGAUGCAGGGAUGGAUGAAAUCACCGAGAAGUUUAUACAGUAAUAUGUGAAAGUUGACUG